CCUACGGGUGGCAGCAGUGGGGAAUAUUGGGCAAUGGGCGCAAGCCUGACCCAGCAACGCCGCGUGAAGGAAGAAGGCUUUCGGGUUGUAAACUUCUUUUGUCAGGGACGAAGCAAGUGACGGUACCUGACGAAUAAGCCACGGCUAACUACGUGCCAGCAGCCGCGGUAAUACGUAGGUGGCAAGCGUUAUCCGGAUUUACUGGGUGUAAAGGGCGUGUAGGCGGGACUGCAAGUCAGAUGUGAAAACCACGGGCUCAACCUGUGGCCUGCAUUUGAAACUGUAGUUCUUGAGUACUGGAGAGGCAGACGGAAUUCCUAGUGUAGCGGUGAAAUGCUUAGAUAUCACACAGAACACCGAUUGCGAAGGCAGCUUUCCAAGCUAUUACUGACGCUGAGGCACGAAAGCGUGGGGAGCGAACAGGAUUAGAUACCCUUGUAGUC
rnacentral:rRNA from 1 species